rnacentral:snRNA from 13 species
AGCUUUGUGCAGUGGCAGUAUCAUAGCCAAUGAGGUUUAUCCGAGGCAUGAUUACUGCUAAUUGAGAAUGCAGGGGGUCAGGGAAUGUGUCUUCUAACACCCGUAAGUCCUGGGCAGGGGGCCCCC